rnacentral:rRNA from 1 species
UAGAUGCGAGAGUAGAGCAUAUCAAUAAGCGGAGGAAAAGAAACUAACAAGGAUUCCCUUAGUAACGGCGAGUGAAGCGGGAAGAGCUCAAAUUUGAAAUCUUCAAGGUUCUACCUUGACGAAUUGUAGUUUAUAGAAGUGUUUUCUGUUAGUGGAGUGGCAAAAGUUCUUUGGAAUAGGACAUCAUAGAGGGUGAGAAUCCCGUAUUUGGUCAUUCCUUCCUAGCGUUGUGAUACACUUUCAACGAGUCGGAUUGUUUGGGAAUGCAGUCCAAAAUGGGUGGUAAAUUUCAUCUAAAGCUAAAUACUGGCGAGAGACCGAUAGCGAACAAGUACCGUGAGGGAAAGAUGAAAAGAACUUUGAAAAGAGAGUUAAACAGUACGUGAAAUUGUCAAAAGGGAAGCGUUUGACACCAGUGUUGUUUUUCCGAAAAUCAAUUACGAAUGUUUUGUUUUUGAGGAGUUAUGACUUCAUCGGCUUGCUCCUUUCUUUAUGAAACUUUCUUAAUGCACUUUUCGGUUAACAAGUCAACAUCAAUUUCUUUUGUUGUAAAAGGGUAUGAGGAAGGUGGCUUUCUUUUCGGAGAAAGUGUUUAUAGCCUUGUAGCCUCUGCAAUCGGAGAGAUUGAGGUCUGCAGCGUAGAUCCUUCGGGGUUAGAUACAGUUUGUGCUAAGUUAUAGCUUUUCAUAGACAACUUGUUGACUAUGUUUAGUCUUGUAGCUUACUCGCUGAUGCUAUUUUACCUACGCUUAGGAUGUUGACGAGACUGUCGAUCUC